rnacentral:rRNA from 1 species
GACGAACGCUGGCGGCGUGCUUAACACAUGCAAGUCGAACGGAAAGGCCCUGCUUUUGUGGGGUGCUCGAGUGGCGAAAGGGUGAGUAACACGUGAGUAACCUGCCCUUGACUUUGGGAUAACUUCAGGAAACUGGGGCUAAUACCGGAUAGGAGCUCCUGCUGCAUGGUGGGGGUUGGAAAGUUUCGGCGGUUGGGGAUGGACUCGCGGCUUAUCAGCUUGUUGGUGGGGUAGUGGCUUACCAAGGCUUUGACGGGUAGCCGGCCUGCGAGGGUGACCGGCCACAUUGGGACUGAGAUACGGCCCAGACUCCUACUGGAGGCAGCAGUGGGGAAUAUUGCACAAUGGGCGGAAGCCUGAUGCAGCAACGCCGCGUGCUGGAUGACGGCCUUCGGGUUGUAAACCGCUUUCGCCUGUGACGAAGCGUGAGUGACGGUAAUGGGUAAAGAAGCACCGGCUAACUACGUG